rnacentral:rRNA from 1 species
CUCAGAACGAACGCUGGCGGCAGGCUUAACACAUGCAAGUCGAACGCUGUAGCAAUACAGAGUGGCAGACGGGUGAGUAACGCGUGGGAACGUGCCCUUCGGUUCGGAAUAACUCAGGGAAACUUGAGCUAAUACCGGAUACGUGCGAGAGCAGAAAGAUUUAUCGCCGAAGGAUCGGCCCGCGUCCGAUUAGCUAGUUGGUGAGGUAAUGGCUCACCAAGGCGACGAUCGGUAGCUGGUCUGAGAGGAUGAUCAGCCACAUUGGGACUGAGACACGGCCCAAACUCCUACGGGAGGCAGCAGUGGGAAAUAUUGGACAAUGGGCGCAAGCCUGAUCCAGCCAUGCCGCGUGAGUGAUGAAGGCCUUAGGGUUGUAAAGCUCUUCCGCCAGGGACGAUAAUGACGGUACCUGGAUAAGAAGCCCCGGCUAACUUCGUGCCAGCAGCCGCGGUAAUACGAAGGGGGCUAGCGUUGUUCGGAUUUACUGGGCGUAAAGCGCACGUAGGCGGAUCUUUAAGUCAGGGGUGAAAUCCCGAGGCUCAACCUCGGAACUGCCUUUGAUACUGGAGGUCUCGAGUCCGGGAGAGGUGAGUGGAACUGCGAGUGUAGAGGUGAGAUUCGUAGAUAUUCGCAAGAACACCAGUGGCGAAGGCGGCUCACUGGCCCGGUACUGACGCUGAGGUGCGAAAGCGUGGGGAGCAAACAGGAUUAGAUACCCUGGUAGUCCACGCCGUAAACGAUGGAUGCUAGCCGUUGGGGAGCUUGCUCUUCAGUGGCGCAGCUAACGCUUUAAGCAUCCCGCCUGGGGAGUACGGUCGCAAGAUUAAA